GACGAACGCUGGCGGCGUGCUUAACACAUGCAAGUCGAGCGGUAAGGCACCUUCGGGUGUACACGAGCGGCGAACGGGUGAGUAACACGUGAGUAAUCUGCCCUUCACUUCGGGAUAACCGCCGGAAACGGUGGCUAAUACCGGAUACGACGCGCUUUCGCAUGAGAUGCGCGUGGAAAGUUUUAUCGGUGGAGGAUGUGCUCGCGGCCUAUCAGCUUGUUGGUGGG
rnacentral:rRNA from 1 species